UACGUAGGGCGCAAGCGUUGUCCGGAAUUAUUGGGCGUAAAGAGCUCGUAGGCGGCUUGUCACGUCGGGUGUGAAAGCCCGGGGCUUAACCCCGGGUCUGCAUUCGAUACGGGCUAGCUAGAGUGUGGUAGGGGAGAUCGGAAUUCCUGGUGUAGCGGUGAAAUGCGCAGAUAUCAGGAGGAACACCGGUGGCGAAGGCGGCUCUCUGGACCGAGACUGACGCUGAGGCGCGAAAGCGUGGGGAGCAAACAGG
rnacentral:rRNA from 1 species